GACGUAGGGGGCGAGCGUUGUCCGGAUUCAUUGGGCGUAAAGCGCGCGUAGGCGGCCCGGUAAGUCGGAUGUGAAAUCUCACGGCUCAACCGUGGAACUGCAUUCGAAACUGUCGGGCUAGAGGCAGGUAGGGGAGAUCGGAAUUCCCGGUGUAGCGGUGAAAUGCGCAGAUAUCGGGAGGAACACCGGUGGCGAAGGCGGAUCUCUGGGCCGAUACUGACGCUGAGGAGCGAAAGCGUGGGGAGCGAACAGG
rnacentral:rRNA from 1 species